UGGAGAGUUUGAUCCUGGCUCAGGACGAACGCUGGCGGCGUGCCUAAUACAUGCAAGUCGAGCGGACCUGAUGGAGUGCUUGCACUCCUGAUGGUUAGCGGCGGACGGGUGAGUAACACGUAGGCAACCUGCCCGUAAGACCGGGAUAACUACCGGAAACGGUAGCUAAUACCGGAUAAUCAAGUCUYCCGCAUGGGAGRCUUGGGAAAGGCGGAGCAAUCUGUCACUUACGGAUGGGCCUGCGGCGCAUUAGCUAGUUGGUGGGGUAACGGCUCACCAAGGCGACGAUGCGUAGCCGACCUGAGAGGGUGAACGGCCACACUGGGACUGAGACACGGCCCAGACUCCUACGGGAGGCAGCAGUAGGGAAUCUUCCGCAAUGGACGAAAGUCUGACGGAGCAACGCCGCGUGAGUGAUGAAGGUUUUCGGAUCGUAAAGCUCUGUUGCCAGGGAAGAACGUCUUSUGGAGUAACUGCCASRRGAGUGACGGUACCUGAGAAGAAAGCCCCGGCUAACUACGUGCCAGCAGCCGCGGUA
rnacentral:rRNA from 1 species